rnacentral:rRNA from 1 species
UGCAGUCGAGGGGCAGCAUCAUCAAAGCUUGCUUUGAUGGAUGGCGACCGGCGCACGGGUGAGUAACACGUAUCCAACCUGCCGACAACACUGGGAUAGCCUUUCGAAAGAAAGAUUAAUACCGGAUGGUAUAGUUUUCCCGCAUGGGAUGAUUAUUAAAGAAUUUCGGUUGUCGAUGGGGAUGCGUUCCAUUAGGCAGUUGGCGGGGUAACGGCCCACCAAACCUACGAUGGAUAGGGGUUCUGAGAGGAAGGUCCCCCACAUUGGAACUGAGACACGGUCCAAACUCCUACGGGAGGCAGCAGUGAGGAAUAUUGGUCAAUGGACGAGAGUCUGAACCAGCCAAGUAGCGUGAAGGAUGACUGCCCUAUGGGUUGUAAACUUCUUUUAUACGGGAAUAAAGUGAGCCACGUGUGGCUUUUUGUAUGUACCGUAUGAAUAAGGAUCGGCUAACUCCGUGCCAGCAGCCGCGGUAAUACGGAGGAUCCGAGCGUUAUCCGGAUUUAUUGGGUUUAAAGGGAGCGUAGGCGGGUUGUUAAGUCAGUUGUGAAAGUUUGCGGCUCAACCGUAAAAUUGCAGUUGAUACUGGCGACCUUGAGUGCAACAGAGGUAGGCGGAAUUCGUGGUGUAGCGGUGAAAUGCUUAGAUAUCACGAAGAACUCCGAUUGCGAAGGCAGCUUACUGGAUUGUAACCGACGCUGAU